UACGUAGGGCGCAAGCGUUGUCCGGAAUUAUUGGGCGUAAAGAGCUCGUAGGCGGCUUGUCACAUCGGGUGUGAAAGCCCGGGGCUUAACCCCGGGUCUGCAUUCGAUACGGGCUAGCUAGAGUGUGGUAGGGGAGAUCGGAAUUCCUGGUGUAGCGGUGAAAUGCGCAGAUAUCAGGAGGAACACCGGUGGCGAAGGCGGAUCUCUGGGCCAUUACUGACGCUGAGGAGCGAAAGCGUGGGGAGCGAACAGG
rnacentral:rRNA from 1 species